rnacentral:rRNA from 1 species
UGGGGAAUAUUGCACAAUGGACGGAAGUCUGAUGCAGCAACGCCGCGUGCGGGAUGACGGCCUUCGGGUUGUAAACCGCUUUUUCUCAUGACGAAGUUUUUUGACGGUAGUGGGGGAAGAAGCACUGGCUAACUACGUGCCAGCAGCCGCGGUGAUACGUAGGGUGCGAGCGUUGUCCGGAAUUAUUGGGCGUAAAGAGCUUGUAGGCGGUUUGUCGCGUCGAUAGUGCAAACUCAGUGCUUAACGCUGAGCCUGCUGUUGAUACGGGCAGACUAGAGGAAGGUAGGGGGGAAUGGAAUUCCCGGUGGAGCGGUGGAAUGCGCAGAUAUCGGGAGGAACACCGGUGGCGAAGGCGGUUCUCUGGGCCUUUCCUGACGCUGAGAAGCGAAAGCGUGGGGAGCGAACAGG